rnacentral:piRNA from 1 species
UCAAAUGUUCAUGCUACUGAGUAGCUCUGCU